rnacentral:rRNA from 1 species
UCCUACGGGAGGCAGCAGUGGGGAAUAUUGGACAAUGGGGGAAACCCUGAUCUAGCCAUGCCGCGUGAGUGAUGAAGGCCUUAGGGUUGUAAAGCUCUUUUACCCGGGAUGAUAAUGACAGUACCGGGAGAAUAAGCUCCGGCUAACUCCGUGCCAGCAGCCGCGGUAAUA